rnacentral:misc_RNA from 1 species
AACAUUUGCAACUUUGCAAUACACGCACAGUACACGAGCCAAGCUGCAAGCUUUUGAAACAUCUGUCCAUGCUUGUGUUUUUUUAAACUACAAGAACUGCUAUUGAACCUGUUAUCCAUUUUUAAAACGUUCGUUUGUGAGCUAAUUUGGUUCAAAUAGGCAACUGCUGCAUGAACACUAUAGCCCAAGAAACUAACUCCACAGAUAAUUCUUAUAGGUUAUUUCGUAUAGCUUUAUACCUCCAUGAUGAAACUCUUUCUUUGCCAGUUCACAAGGUUUGGUUGCUAGAUUUCUUAUUAGCAAUGGUAAAAGGUGACGCUCUUGGUUUUGUCUCUUGCCGACAUCAUGAGUGCUGUGCCACAUACCAUAAAAAAAGUACACAGCGAGCCCUGAGGAAGAAAGUAAACUAUUAGCUUCUACCUGCAUGGAUAGGUAAAUUUAAUUGACAAAAUAAUUGAUUCAUGGUCAGAGAAACAAGCAAAAUUAUGAAAGAUUGGAAUGAGCUAAAAUCAAAUCCCAGUUGGUGCCAACUUCCACUGAGAAUAUUGAUUUAAAAUGUUCUCACCAAUAGCCAUCCACACUCCGAAUCGAACCCAAGUCAUGCUAUCCAACAUCAGCAUCAAGUAAACAUUGAUCAUAAUACUGAGACCUGGUAAGAAGGGUACCAAGGGUACCUGAAAAAGUCAUCUUAUACAGUCCACAACUAUAUUUCAAUACAGAAAAUUAAUAAAGGUCUUCAAUCUUUAUCAAUAUUGAUAUUUGAUUAUAUAGAAAUCAGCUGUCAAUACUCACAGAAAAAGUGAGCUUUUUCCCAGAUACUGGUUGGAGAUACACAAAUCUUGGACUUCCUGGAAUCUUAGUUUUAUUGCGAUUGGUUUUGGUUCAAUACGACUAUUUUCGCCACAUAAACAUGUACAAUGGACCGCAAUUGCUGUAGGUAAUACCACUAACUUCUGAACCAGUCUCCAAGAUGACCAUAG